rnacentral:tRNA from 1 species
UGGCUCAGAUGGUAAAGCAUCUGUCUGCAACGCAGGAGACCCAGGUUCAAUCCCUGG